CCUACGGGGUGCAGCAGUCGAGAAUCAUUCACAAUGGGGGAAACCCUGAUGGUGCGACGCCGCGUGGGGGAAUGAAGGUCUUCGGAUUGUAAACCCCUGUCAUGUGGGAGCAAAUUAAAAAGAUAGUACCACAAGAGGAAGAGACGGCUAACUCUGUGCCAGCAGCCGCGGUAAUACAGAGGUCUCAAGCGUUGUUCGGAAUCACUGGGCGUAAAGCGUGCGUAGGCUGUUUCGUAAGUCGUGUGUGAAAGGCGCGGGCUCAACCCGCGGACGGCACAUGAUACUGCGAGACUAGAGUAAGGGAAGGGGAGCCGGAAUGCUUGGUGUAGCAGUGAAAUGCGUAGAUAUCGAGAGGAACACUCGUGGCGAAGGCGGGUUCCUGGACAUUAACUGACGCUGAGGCACGAAGGCCAGGGGAGCGAAAGGGAUUAGAUACCCGAGUAGUC
rnacentral:rRNA from 1 species